CCUACGGGAGGCAGCAGUGAGGAAUAUUGGUCAAUGGGCGCGAGCCUGAACCAGCCAAGUAGCGUGAAGGAUGACUGCUCUACGGGUUGUAAACUUCUUUUAUAAAGGAAUAAAGUGAGGCGCGAGUGCCUGUUUGUAUGUACGUUAUGAAUAAGGCUCGGCUAACUCCGUGCCAGCAGCCGCGGUAAUACGGAGGAUCCGAGCGUUAUCCGGAUUUAUUGGGUUUAAAGGGAGCGUAGAUGGGUUGUUAAGUCAGUUGUGAAAGUUUGCGGCUCAACCGUAAAAUUGCAAUUGAUACUGGCAGUCUUGAGUACAGUAGAGGUAGGCGGAAUUCGUGGUGUAGCGGUGAAAUGCUUAGAUAUACCGAAGAACUCCGAUUGCGAAGGCAGCUUACUAGACUGCAACUGACAUUGAUGCUCGAAAGUGUGGGUAUCAAACAGGAUUAGAUACCCCUGUAGUC
rnacentral:rRNA from 1 species